CCUACGGGUGGCUGCAGUGGGGGAUAUUGCACAAUGGGGGAAACCCUGAUGCAGCGACGCCGCGUGAGUGCAGCAGUAUUUCGGUAUGUAAAGCUCUAUCAGCAGGGAAGAAAAUGACAGUACCUGACCAAGCAGCCCCGGCUAACUACGUGCCAGCAGCCGCGGUAAUACGUCGGGGGCAAGCGUUAUCCGGAUUUACUGGGUGGAAAGGGUGCGUAGACGGGUAGGUAAGUCUGGAGUGAAAGGCCGGGGCCCAACCCCGGGACUGCGUUUGAUACUGUGUAACUGGAGUACAGGAGGGGCAAGCGGAAUUCCUGGUGUAGCGGUGAAAUGCGUAGAUAUCAGGAGGAACACCGGCGGCGAAGGCGGCCUGCUGGACUGAAACUGACGUUGAGGCUCGAAAGCGUGGGGAGCAAACAGGAUUAGAUACCCCAGUAGUC
rnacentral:rRNA from 1 species